GCAAACUUGGUCAUUUAGAGGAAGUAAAAGUCGUAACAAGGUCUCCGUUGGUGAACCAGCGGAGGGAUCAUUAUAGAGUGUUAAAACUCCAAACCAUUGCGAACCUACCACUGUUGCCUCGGCGGGUUGGCUGCUGGGAGAAAUAAGUUACCCUGUAGGAAGUUACCCUGUAGCGACUUACCCUGUAGCGAGUCGCCCUGUAGCCCGCCCGCCGGCGGCCCAACCAAACUCUGUUUUUUUGUGGCAACUCUGAGGAUUAUAUAAAUCUAUUAAAACUUUCAACAACGGAUCUCUUGGUUCUGGCAUCGAUGAAGAACGCAGC
rnacentral:misc_RNA from 1 species